UACGGAGGGGGCUAGCGUUGUUCGGAAUUACUGGGCGUAAAGCGCACGUAGGCGGCUCUUUAAGUCGGGGGUGAAAUCCUGGAGCUCAACUCCAGAACUGCCUUCGAUACUGAAGAGCUCGAGUCCGGGAGAGGUGAGUGGAACUGCGAGUGUAGAGGUGAAAUUCGUAGAUAUUCGCAAGAACACCAGUGGCGAAGGCGGCUCACUGGCCCGGUACUGACGCUGAGGUGCGAAAGCGUGGGGAGCAAACAGG
rnacentral:rRNA from 1 species